rnacentral:rRNA from 1 species
UACGUAGGGUGCAAGCGUUAAUCGGAAUUACUGGGCGUAAAGCGUGCGCAGGCGGUGAUGUAAGACAGGUGUGAAAUCCCCGGGCUUAACCUGGGAACUGCAUUUGUGACUGCAAGGCUGGAGUUUGGCAGAGGGGGGUAGAAUUCCACGUGUAGCAGUGAAAUGCGUAGAGAUGUGGAGGAACACCGAUGGCGAAGGCAGCCCCCUGGGUCAAAACUGACGCUCAUGCACGAAAGCGUGGGGAGCAAACAGG